AACGAACGCUGGCGGCAGGCCUAACACAUGCAAGUCGAGCGAGGACUUCUGUCUUAGCGGCGGAUGGGUGAGUAACGCGUGGGAACGUGCCCUUUGCUUCGGAAUCUCCCUGGGAAACUGGGCGUAAUACCGGACGAGCCCUUGGGGGGAAAGAUUUAUCGGCGAAGGAUCGGCCCGCGUUGGAUUAGGUAGUUGGUGGGGUAAUGGCCUACCAAGCCGACGAUCCAUAGCUGGUUUGAUAGGAUGAUCAGCCACACUGGGACUGGGACACGGCCCAGACUCCUACGGGCGGCAGCAGUGGGGAAUCUUAGACAAUGGGGGAAACCCUGAUCUAGCCAUGCCGCGUGAGCGAUGAAGGCCUUAGGGUUGUAAAGCUCUUUCAGCUGGGACGAUAAUGACGGUACCAGCAGAAGAAGACCCGGCUAACUACGUG
rnacentral:rRNA from 1 species